rnacentral:rRNA from 1 species
GAUGAACGCUGGCGGCGUGCCUAAUACAUGCAAGUCGAGCGAACAUACGAUGAGCUUGCUCCGCUGACGUGACCGACGGACGGGUGAGUAACACGUAGAUAACCUACCUAUAAGACUCGAAUAACGUCGGGAAACCCGAGCUAAUACCGGAUAAUAUAUUGAACCUCAUGUUACAAUAGUGAAAAUCGGUGUUGCUAUCACUUAUAGAUUGAUCCGCGCCGCAUUAGCUAGUUGGUAAGGUCACGGCUUACCAAGGCUACGAUGCGUAGCAGACCUGAGAGGGUGAGUGGCCACCCUGGAAGGGAGACAGGCCCCAGAGUCCUAGGGGAGCAGCCAUUAGGGAUUCUGCCGCAAGGAGUGAAGGCUGGACGGAGCAAGGCCGAGUGAGUGAUGAAGGUCUUCGGAUCGUAAAAUGCUGUUAUUAGGGAAGAAAAGAUGUGUAAGUAACUAUGCACGUCUUGACGGUACCUAAACAGAAAGCCACGGCUAACUACGUG